UACGUAGGGUGCUAGCGUUGUCCGGAUUUAUUGGGCGUAAAGGGCUCGUAGGCGGCGUGUCGCGUCGGGUGUGAAAGCCCGCUGCUUAACGGCGGGUUGGCUUCCGGUACGGGCAUCGCUGGAGUGCGGCAGGGGAGACUGGAAUUCCUGGUGUAGCGGUGGAAUGCGCAGAUAUCAGGAGGAACACCGGUGGCGAAGGCGGGUCUCUGGGCCGUUGCUGACACUGAGGCGCGACAGCGUGGGGAGCAAACAGG
rnacentral:rRNA from 1 species